GUACUUUGCACCCUAACUCUCACUAGCUUCCUUUGCCAGCUGAAGCUAUGCCAUCUUUUAUGUCUGAUGAGGCAGUUUCAUCUGAUUUGAAGAUGAUGAAGAAAAUUUCUUUGCAAGGUUGCUUAUUGAAUAUUACUGGGAAAACAGGAAAAUUAGGAGGAAUGUUCUGGAGUGAUUUAUCUUUUUCAUCAGGGGCCUGCGUUCAGUCCAGCCACCAGAUCAACACAUUCUCCAAACUCAUUAACUUUGGAGAGGCUACCCAGAGUUCCUGAAGAGUUCAUCUGAAAAAUGUUGAAAUAGUCACGGCCCAUAGAAUCAAUGUUUUGGGAUGCCAUCCAGGAUUCCAUAGUACAUUUUAGUAGUCUUAAGCUCCUCUUGACUGGGACAGUUUCUGCAACCUUUUUUGCUUUCAAUGACCUUAACGGUUUUGAAGAGAACUGGUCAGGUGCUUUGUGGAAUGCCUUUCUUUGGGAUUUAUCUGUGUUUUUUCCUCAAGAUUGAACUGGAGUUAAUGUGUUUUGGGGAGAAACACCACAGAAGUAGCAUUAGUGACGGUUCUCCAGAGGGAACUAAUAGGAUACAUAUAGAUAUAUGAAAGGGAGCUUAUUAAAGACAAUUGAUUCACGUGCUCACAAGGUGAAGUACACAAUAGGCCGCCUGCAAGCUGGGGAAGAAAGAAGCCAGUGGUGGAUCAGUCUGAGUCCAAAAGCCUCAAAAGUAGGGAAGCCAACAGUGCAGCCUUCAGUCUGUGGCCAAAGGCCCCAGAGCCCUGGA
rnacentral:lncRNA from 1 species